UACGGGGGGAGCAAGCGUUGUUCGGAUUUACUGGGCGUAAAGGGCGCGUAGGCGGCCAGCCCAGGUCAGGUGUGAAAUCUCCGGGCUUAACUCGGAAAGGUCAACUGAUACUGUGCGGCUAGAGUGCAGGAGAGGAACGCGGAAUUCCAGGUGUAGCGGUGAAAUGCGUAGAUAUCUGGAGGAACACCGGUGGCGAAGGCGGCGUUCUGGACUGUAACUGACACUGAUGAACGAAAGCCGGGGGAGCAAACGGG
rnacentral:rRNA from 1 species